ensembl:snRNA U2 U2 spliceosomal RNA
AUUGCUUCUUGGCCUUUUGGCUGAGAUCAAGUGCAGAAUCUGUUAGCCAAGAACUUGAGAGGGACAACUCUUGGUCCCCUUGCCCCUCUAAUAGCACCCAUCAUGCCAUCUUCCUCCCAGUUAUAUAUUUUUUUUUAUUUUUCACCUUUC